rnacentral:rRNA from 1 species
AGCGAACGCUGGCGGCAGGCCUAACACAUGCAAGUCGAACGAAGUCUUCGGACUUAGUGGCGGUCGGGUGAGUAACACGUGGGAACGUACCUUUUGGUUCGGAACAACUCAGGGAAACUUGAGCUAAUACCGGAUGAGCCCUAAGGGGGAAAGAUUUAUCGCCGAAAGAGCGGCCCGCGUUAGAUUAGCUAGUUGGUGAGGUAAAGGCUCACCAAGGCUACGAUCUAUAGCUGGUCUGAGAGGAUGAUCAGCCACACUGGGACUGAGACACGGCCCAGACUCCUACGGGAGGCAGCAGUGGGGAAUCUUGCGCAAUGGGCGAAAGCCUGACGCAGCCAUGCCGCGUGAAUGAUGAAGGUCUUAGGAUUGUAAAAUUCUUUUACCAGGGACGAUAAUGACGGUACCUGGAGAAAAAGCCCCGGCUAACUUCGUGCCAGCAGCCGCAGUAAUAC